GUUAGCUGUUCUUAAUUGUUAGAUAUAAAGCAAAAAUUAAAUUGUAAGUAGGCAACUUUUAAUGCAUCCUUCUUCGAAUGCGUAGCUAGCUGGAAGAAGAUUUAUGACGGGUUUAGGACGCACCGCUGGAGGUAACCACCAUUGAGGUGACCCACAAGAUAAUAAUUUUAUUGCAUUUGUUCAAGACAGAGAAAUGUAUCGACACAAAUAGGAAUUUUAGCGAUUUCUCUAAUAGUGGUAUAAAAUUAAAGCACAUGAUUUCAGAAUUAAUUUUUUUAACAAAAUAAUUAGGUACCUAUAGAUUUGCAUUACGUUUUUUUUGUAGACACUGCUAUCAACGUAUCUUAUGAGAUUUUGAAAUACGAGUAAUCACGCUCGCUAUUUUUUUGAAUACUUUUAACAAUAAAAUUAUUCCUGUUUAAAAAAAAAUAUAAAAAAAAGAUGAUUAAAACUUUGGUUGUACUUAGCUUCGUUCUGCACAGGUUUUGUGAUAGAACUACUGAGCUCCCUCACCACGACAAGGUGUCAACCCACUGAGGAAGUUUUAUUUUUUAUUUUUAUUGUUCAAAUUAAAAAUUAUAAUUAUUAUUAAAAUGCUUAUCAUCAUAUUAUGUAUUUAUGUAAAAAUCUCUAAAACUAAACUUGAAAUAUUAUUUACAAAUCCUUUUUUAUUAUGCUGCGUAAUGGUAAAUUGCGACUAUGUCUUGAAUCAAUUAUUUCUGGUAACAUGGCAUUCAUAUAAAAAUUUUCAAGACAAUCUAUCAUUCUUCCGUUCCAAUAUUUAUUAUCGUCUUUCUCAAUAAUACAAUAUUUUAAAUCUGUAGAGGUGUACACUAUAAAAUAACAAGUUUGGCGAUUAGUAAUGUGGAGCUGACCUUGUACUUGAUACAUGUAAUUAUCUUUUUCUUUUAAAACUAUUUUACUAUCAUCUUGAGAAUCUAUUUCUAAGUAUUUAAUCAAUUUUUGUUCUAUGGCAGUUUUAAUAUUUGUGUUUCUUGCGCUAAAUGGACAUUUAAUUUCAACAAUAGCAUUUGAACCCACUAACCCAUCUGGUGUUGCACCUAAAAAAUUUUUUUCUUUAUCAACAAAAAAGCCGCAUGAAUCUACCUUUAUACCUGUGAUCUGUUCAAACUUCUCCUUUGCUUUCUCUUCAUUAUCAAUUCCCCACUGUAGUAGUUCGGGUAAUUUUUUUAAUUUAGAUAAUCCCACACGAUACAAGAUAUCUUUUACAGCAUUCGCUGUAUUGGUCGUACAUUUCAUAUUAAUAAUUCUUCCGAAAUUACUAGCCGUUAAUCUAUUAUUUCUUUCUUUAUCCCACUGCUCAUUAUUACGUUGACCAAUUGUUAACAAAGGAAUUUUUAAAAUAUCGCAAGCAGCCAAAUCAUUCAAGAACUCAUUUUUUAUAUUGUCAUAUGUUUCUAUUGGCAUGUCUAUUAUGUCAUUAGUCGCACCAUAAUCCGAAUCUGCACUUUGAAUACGAAUUUUUCUUUUAUUUAAUUUUGUAGCAUGAAGUUCUUUGGUUUUUAAUAAGCGAUUUGAAAAUUUUGUGGUGUAAAUGCCACUAUUCCCUGAUAUUUUCUCCAUAAUUUUAAAUACAAAUUUGUUUUUGUUAUUUACAUUUACGACUGCCGCAAAGCAUCUUCCAUGAUAAGAACCGCGUUCUGAAAAAUUUAUUCUUUUACCUCCAACAAGUUUGUUAACUACUGAAUUAAAUGACUCAACAGAAUUAUUAUCGACAUCAUACAAUAGACUUGAAGAUAAAUUUGCAACUCGUUUUAAUGCCUGCAUGAACAACUCAAACAAGGAACUAUUUUUAAAGUCAGAAUAUGCAACUGCAUUUGUUAUUUGACCAACUGUUUUACAAAAAUACGUAGCGCACUUUGAAUGAUUACCAAAAAUAU